GACAGAGGUGCCAAGCGUUAGGCGGAAUCACUGGGCUUAAAGCGUGUGUAGGCGGGUGCCUAAGUACCUUGUGAAAUCCCACGGCUCAACCGUGGAACUGCUGGGUAUACUGGGUGCCUUGGGGUCAUCUAGGGGCUGCCGGAACAAAUGGUGGAGCGGUGAAAUGCGUAGAUAUCAUUUGGAACGCCAACGGCGAAAGCAGGCAGCUGGGGAUGCACCGACGCUGAGACACGAAAGCCAGGGGAGCGAACGGG
rnacentral:rRNA from 1 species